UACGUAGGGCGCGAGCGUUGUCCGGAAUUAUUGGGCGUAAAGAGCUCGUAGGCGGCUUGUUGCGUCUGCUGUGAAAUCCCGGGGCUUAACCCCGGGCGUGCAGUGGAUACGGGCAGGCUGGAGGCAGGCAGGGGAGAAUGGAAUUCCCGGUGUAGCGGUGAAAUGCGCAGAUAUCGGGAGGAACACCAGUGGCGAAGGCGGCGACCUGGGCCAAUAUUGACGCUGAGGUGCGAAAGCGUGGGGAGCAAACAGGG
rnacentral:rRNA from 1 species